AGCCCUUGGAUACGUUCAUCUGAUUCAAGGAGACUUAAAGAAAGGAAGCUUCAGCUGGAGACUGGCUGUGGUAGACUGGCUGAAAGAUGAGAUCAUGUUUGGAGUGCACACUGAGGUCUCAGCAAGAAUCUUCUAAUUUGAGAGGCAUCAGUAUUUUACGCACUCAUGUGCUGAAAAAAUAAAGAAUGAAAUCAGGAGUUUAAAAGUUAUUUUCAGCAUCUGGACUAAGUAAAGGAGAUGUUUACCACAUGUGGAGCUUAGCACAAAGAAUAAGCAUGAAUCAAGAAUGCCCCACCCCAAUACCCCUUUGAAACAUUUUUAAGUGGUUCCAUGAAAUAGCGUAUAUUUGAAUAAUUGCCAUGAUGGCCAUGCUGCAGUCUUUCUCAGACAAUCCAACUCAAACUCUCUGCUGUGGGCAUCUAUUGUUUUUACCUACUCAUUCUACCACCUUCAUUUGUCAGGAAUCAGGUCUUGAUUUUCUUUUGGAAAUCACCUCUCCCUAGGCCAUGUGGUCCUAGUGAAAAGACUACCGUGUCCCACCUGCUCUUAAACAAGAAGAAUCUUCUCCAAGAUUUGUUUCUAUAAGAUUUAUAGCUGCUAGGAGAGAGAGGAGUUCUUUUUCUCUGGGUUCUCAAGCUGAAAGAAUCACAUAUGCCUGAAGCUUAUGGUCUUAACCCCAGGCUUCAUGGAAGAAGAUCUCUGCAGAAUGCUUGCCAGCACACAGAGAGAACUAGAGCUCUGGUAGCAUUUAGCAUCAUUUGAAGCUAGAUCAACCCUUAAAGUGUCCAGUUACUGGAGCCAGUACAUUCCCUUUGGCUUAAGCUACUUUGAGUUAUAUUUCUAUUAUUUUCAACCAAAAGAGCUUUGGAUGUUGUUAUCCAUCUAAAGGUGGGAAUGAUCAACUUGGUACAAGCAAAAGUAACUUGCCAGCAGUUCUAAUAGAAAAUCCUAUCAAAAUCUCUUUUGGAUAAGUAGUAAGUGUUUGUUGGUUUGGGAUCCUAAAUUUAGAAAGCUCAAAUAACUAACAUUUUCUUGUACCCUAGAGACAAGUGUUAAAUAAACUAACUGAUC